UUAACGCUGUAAGUCUUACUGAUAUUUGUGUCAAUUUCAAACAAAAUGCAGCCAAUGUUAAGAUAAAAAAAGAGUUCACAUAUCUCCACGAGUGUUGUUUGCUCAAUAGCGUUUAUGCCUGCGCUGAAUUGUCAUCAAUAACCAUUCUGUUGGUCCUGUCCUUGACUGUCUCCGAAAAGAGAGGCAUUCUUUCAUUUUCUGAAUAAUCUCCUGUUUAUUUAUUCGUUCGCAGAAUAGAUGCUCUGAUAUUUUUGUGAAUGAUUCUUUCAUGAAUUGUCCAUCUGUGAAUGGCUUCCAUCUCAUGCGCAGCCCAAUAUUGCCAAUUUGGUGAUUUUCUCACUAAAUCUGGCGACUUUCCAAACUGUCUCGGCAGUGGCGGAGCUACGGGGUCACUCCCCGGACACCCCCACGGCUGAGGGGCAAUUUUGACAAACGCGGCUCUGUGGUGCAGAACAUUAGUUCAACCUAACCGCCGUUUCCGCUUGGACGCAUUUCACUGUGGCACACAACUUUACGUAUGGAGGAGCUGCCAAUAAAACGUCAUCUUGCAUGAACUGCAAGCAGUAGUUAGACUCACUGCAUACACUAGCCCCCCCUCCUUGCUCAUCCAAUCAGCAGUCAGAACACAGUCUAGAUGCAUUCAUGGACUUGCGUCCCUUCCCUUCUAGACACUUCCCCACCGUCACUGGACAACCGCGAGAUGCAUUCAAGGACGAUCUGAACAUCACAAGAACGCCUUUAUAAUGUGUGUGCGUGUGUUUGUGCAGUCUAAAUAAAAAGAAAG